GGUGAACGCUGGCGGCGUGCUUAAGACAUGCAAGUCGAACGGCAGUCUUCGGACUGUAGUGGCGCACGGGUGAGUAACGCGUAACUGACCUACCCCAAAGUCGCGGAUAACGAUUCGAAAGAAUCGCUAAUACGUGAUGUGCUGUCAGAUUGUGUUCUGCCAGUAAAGAUUGAUUGCUUUGGGAUGGGGUUGCGUUCCAUCAGCUAGUUGGUGGGGUAAAGGCCCACGAAGGCGACGACGGAUAGCCGGCCUGAGAGGGUGGCCGGCCACAGGGGCACUGAGACACGGGUCCCACUCCUACGGGAGGCAGCAGUUAGGAAUCUUCCACAAUGGGUGAAAGCCUGAUGGAGCGACGCCGCGUGAGGGAUGAAGGUCUUCGGAUCGUAAACCUCUGAAUCAGGGACGAAAGACACUUCGGUGGGAUGACGGUACCUGAGUAAUAGCACCGGCUAACUCCGUGCCAGCAGCCGCCGUAAAAC
rnacentral:rRNA from 1 species